GACCUCAAAUCAGGUAGGAUUACCCGCUGAACUUAA
rnacentral:rRNA from 15 species